rnacentral:ncRNA from 1 species
UGGUUCUAUUUUGUUGGUUUUUGGAACUGAGGUCAAAAUUAAGAGGGGCGCUUGGAGGCAUUCAUUUUGUGCCACUAAAGGUAAAUUCUUGGACCGGUGAAAGACAGAUCAGAUGGAAAGUAUUUGCCAAUAAUGUUUUCAUUAAUCACCAAAGUCAGUCAGAGGUACCAAGUUAAUCAGAAAGCAUCUUAGGUCCAACCACAAACAAUGUGGACUGGAGAUGCAGUUGUAUUAUUCCCAUGACCCUCCUGGGCAACUUCCUGGAAACCUAAGUGUUUGGGUUUGGGGGGAGUAUGGUUGCAAAG